CCGGGCUGAGCAGAGACCCUGUGAGAAGAGCCAGCGCGACCCAACUCCAGUCUGCCGGUGCCUCAGAGAGGAGUUCUUUCUCAGAACGUAGACACUGAAGCAUACCGGUAAGCUAUUGGAACGGUCCCGAGGAGAAACAGAGAGCACCGUUUCAGAGCAUAAACAAGACAGCACAGGAUGGUCAUUCAGUGACGAGCAGAAUCGCCAGGACGCCACGUGUUCUCUGUCCCCAUCCCCCUCCCUGAGCAGACAUAGGUUCCCUCGCCUAGGAGCCAGUCACUGCGGGGAACCCAGGGAUCCUCACUCCUUGCAGCGUCCACAGCCUCAUGAGGUUCACAGCUGCGAACCAAACUUUACAUUACGACAAGGUGAAACGCAAAGAGACGCAUCAAAACGGUACGGGGACACAGAGGUGGCCACCACUAGCUGAGUGGGGGGCGCCGGGGAAGGUUGUGCGGGAGAGGUGACAUUUGACCU
rnacentral:lncRNA from 1 species